UGGAAAGUGCUGGAGCUCAAACCCAGGGUCUGAUUCCAAAGCUCCUGCUCUGUUCACUAGGUUACAGCGUUAAUCCAAGCCCCAUAAAGAUGUUCAUGGCGCUCAUGUGAUUUUCUUCUAUUCUCUCCCAAGGUGGCCAAUGAAGUGCCAUUUGAUCUCAGGACACGAAGAUAGAAUCUGAAGAGAAAAAGAGAUACAGGGAGGCUCAAAGUGCACCAGCCCAGCCGUGACCUGCCGGUUUCAGCAUGGCUUUGUGGACUACGAACGCCACUCCUGUGCAUGGCUGGAGGCUGGAGGACUGUGUGACCUAACAGCGCCGGGGCCUCCUCACCAUCCUCCCGCCACCCCUGGCCCUUCUGCCCUGAAUGGGGAUCCCAGAACCACACUCAGACCGAUAAGGGCCUUCUUCCGCUCUGUCUCAGCCUCCUUCUCCACCACCUUCUGCUUCUGGGCUGCGAUGAGCAGCUUCGUCUUUUCGCUUUCCCUGAAAGGACAAACACAGGCAGCCGUGAGGCCGUUACAGCCAACGCUUCCGAGGAGCUUCACUGUCCCCUGGAGAAACCAAACUUGUGCCGAGGAGAGGCGAGCUUGGGUCGCUCACUCUUCCCAGAAGGCUGCUCGCUGUUCCAGGGGAGUCCUUUCACAGGCAAGUGUAGGAAGAGCUCUAACUGGUCGCCCCUCCUGGCCGUGGUCCUGCAGGGCCACAGCUGCCCUCUCUGGCCUGGGCCUCCCCCACCAGGGUCCUCAAUAAGAUCUUGCAAGGCGCUGAGAAGACUCCAUGAAACCUCAAAAUCUGGCUGGGACAUCGGAACUGAAUCACCUCCCUUACCGUCAGCUGCCACCUGCUUUAGGUAGCCAUUCUUCAUCACCUGUGCCCAAACAGAGGCCCAUGGAGGCUCAGUACUGGGCCCAAGCUAGCAUUGUAAACAUGCUCAUUAAUUUAAUA